rnacentral:rRNA from 1 species
UACGUAGGGUGCGAGCGUUAAUCGGAAUUACUGGGCGUAAAGCGUGCGCAGGCGGUUGGGCAAGACCGAUGUGAAAGCCCCGGGCUUAACCUGGGAAUGGCAUUGGUGACUGCACGGCUAGAGUGUGUCAGAGGGGGGUAGAAUUCCACGUGUAGCAGUGAAAUGCGUAGAGAUGUGGAGGAAUACCGAUGGCGAAGGCAGCCCCAUGGGAUAACACUGACGCUCAUGCACGAAAGUGUGGGGAGCAAACAGG